rnacentral:misc_RNA from 1 species
AAAGAAAGAAAGAAGAAAAAAAGACAGAUCAAGAACAAAAAUAGAUAGCAAAAGUGUAGGCGUACUCUAGCAUGGCAAUAGACAACGACAAACUACCAUCUUUGUUGCAUGCAACCCUCUUUCCCUAUGAAUGAAUACGACCUGGAGAUCUACUAGAUACAUGCACUUUAAUUUUAAGGAAAAACUAAAGAAAACCAUUUAUUUUGGAAAUUUUAAUUUUAAAAAGUUUACCACUUCUACUCUAGAGAUCCAAGGUA